rnacentral:misc_RNA from 1 species
UUGUGGAGGAGGACGCCGAAGGUGGGGCUAAUGACUGGGGUGAAGUCGUAACAAGGUAACCGUACCGGAAGGUGCGGCUGGAUCACCUCCUAACAGGGAGACAAACAUUGAUCAUGAUGCCUAAGUAUUUAUUCUCAGGCCAUGAUCCUGUCACCUUAGGUCGAUCGGUACCUCAGAUUUUUCCAAUAGUUUUUGGAAGUUAAUUUCAGUUCCUAAACUUGUCUAGGUCACACCCAGCAAGGGUUCUCCUGGGCCAUUAGCUCAGGUGGUUAGAGCGCACCCCUGAUAAGGGUGAGGUCCCUGGUUCAAGUCCAGGAUGGCCCAUUCGUUGUUGGGGGUAUAGCUCAGUUGGUAGAGCGCCUGCUUUGCAAGCAGGAUGUCAGCGGUUCGAGUCCGCUUACCUCCACUGAUCUAUCACUUGACAUCUAAGCUUUUAGGAGAAAUUACUUUGCUUUAUGUGAUUUAGACUUUGUUCCCUGAAGGAACCUAGCUUCCUAUCAUUCUAUAUUUAAAUUUAAUUAGAUAUAGUUGAUAAGACGCUGGGCUCAUCAAUGAAAUUCGAAAGAAUAUCAUUGAAGUUCAGAAGAACCUUGACAACUGCAUAGAUUAAGUCUGGAAUGAAUAAAGCAUCUCAUGGAUGCAUCAUUCUUUGGUAUGAGAUAAGUAUAAAUGUAAAUCAUUAUUCCUUAUCUUAAUUAUUAAAGAAUGAAUGUUUAAUUCUUGAGUAAGAGCCGAGGCUCUAUAAAUUUUAUAGAGCAUUAAUGGUCAAGCUACAA